rnacentral:rRNA from 1 species
UAGGGAAUCUUCCGCAAUGGGCGAAAGCCUGACGGAGCAACGCCGCGUGAGUGAUGAAGGUCUUCGGAUCGUAAAACUCUGUUAUUAGGGAAGAACAAAUGUGUAAGUAACUAUGCACGUCUUGACGGUACCUAAUCAGAAAGCCACGGCUAACUACGUGCCAGCAGCCGCGGUAAUACGUAGGUGGCAAGCGUUAUCCGGAAUUCUUGGGCGUAAAGCGCUCGUAGGCGGUUUUUUAAGUCUGAUGUGAAAGCCCACGGCUCAACCGUGGAGGGUCAUUGGAAACUGGAAAACUUGAGUGCAGAAGAGGAAAGUGGAAUUCCAUGUGUAGCGGUGAAAUGCGCAGAGAUAUGGAGGAACACCAGUGGCGAAGGCGACUUUCUGGUCUGUAACUGACGCUGAUGUGCGAAAGCGUGGGGAUCAAACAGG